AAUGUUGGUUAUAAAAUGGCAUUAAAUGAACCCCUUGGAUGUCAAGAGACUCAGCUGCACAUUCCAGUAACUGGUCAUCUAAUAGCUAAUCCAUCUGCACCAGACCUCUUCACUCUCUCCUCCUGUGGAAGUUCUCAAACAGAAGAUGCCUCCUUUGCUGUGGGUUGUUUGGCUAAGAAUUUUCUACCUGAUUCCAUUAACUUUUCCUGGAAAUACCAAAACCAAACUGCUGUGAGUAACACAGAUUUAAAGGUCUUCCCAUCCCUUAUGAUUGGGAGCACAUACACAGCCACUUCACAAGUCAUCCUCCCUGCCAAUGAUGUCUUUCAAGGCCAAGAUAGCUACUUGGUAUGUAAGACUCGUCAUCCCAAAGGUGAAAAGGAAGUUCGAGUUCCACUCCCAGAUCGUACCAUCAAUUCUCCUAAUGUGACUGUGUAUAUCCCACCCCGGGAUGCAUUUUCCAGCUCUAGCCUAAGAAAAUCCAAGCUCAUCUGUCAAGCCACCAACUUCAGGCCAAACAAGAUUGCAUUAACAUGGCUUCGAGAGGGUAGGCCAGUUCUGUCUGGUGUCUCAACAAGUCAAGUCCUGCCUGAUGGUUUUGGGAACUACUUCCUUCAGAGCAGUCUGACUAUUAGUGAGAAUGACUGGCUCAGUCAGAGCACAUUCACUUGCCGAGUAGAUCAUGAAGGGAGCCGAUUCCAAAAAAAUGUUUCCUCGACCUGUUUCAGUGGUGGCCCAGAAUCACCGAUUGAAGUCUUUGCUAUUCCCCCCUCCCUUGCAAGCAUCUUUGUUAACAAAUCAGCCAAAUUAACCUGUGUAGUCACAAAUCUUCCCACCUCUCAAAAUCUGAAUAUUUCCUGGACUCAUGAGAAUGGAAAAGCACUGGAAACUACCAUUAAGGUGUCCCACAGCCAUCCCAAUGGUACCUUUAGUGCUGAAGGAGAAGCCACAGUCUGUGCAGAGGAAUGGAAUUCAGGGGACAUAUUCAAAUGCAUCGUGAUUCAUCCUAACCAUCCUGUUCCCUUGAAGAAAGAAAUCUUUAAGCAACAGGACACUAUCCAGCAUGCACCGGCAGUCUAUCUGUUGCCUCCAACUCCUGAGGAACUGAGUAUGAGGGAAGGAGCUACCCUAACGUGCCUGGUUAAGGACUUCUCUCCAGCAGAUGUAUUAGUCCAAUGGCUGCACAAAGGACAGCCUAUACCCUCAGAGAAAUAUGUCACCAGUAGCCCCCAGCAGGACCCCCAGAAAAGUGGUCUCUACUUUGUCUACAGCAUCAUGACAAUGUCUGAGGAACACUGGAAUGCAGGGGAUUCCAUGACUUGUGUGGUGGUUCAUGAAGCAUUACCUUUGUCGGUGACCGAGAAGACCGUGGACAAGUCCACUGAAGGGGAAGUAAAUGCUGAAGAAGAAGGAUUUGAGAACUUAUGGACAACAGCUUCUACUUUCAUUGUCCUCUUCCUACUGAGUCUCUUUUACAGCACAACAGUCACUUUGUUCAAGGUGAAAUAAAUUCAAGCCUGAAAGCAGGGAUAUUGGACCAAAAGAAGGGAUAAUUCCCUGAAGGCCUGAACCAUGCUCCCCCUGCUGACUGAUACAAUUCACAUUUUCAACAACUCCUGGAAGACCAAGAGGCUCCCAAGCUUAUGAGGGUGGUGGAGCGAGAAGGGAGUAGGAUUUAACUUUUGACUUCAUUGUGGUUUUCCCACAUCCUCCUAUUAGUUUAUGUAGAACUUAUCUCCUAUAACUUCUCUUAUGUCCUCCCUCCAAAAUUAAGAUUUUUAUAAAAAUGUAUAUUUCUUAAGCACAAUUAAUUGUAUUUUACUAGUUUAAAAAAACUAGAAAAAAUAAAAAAGUAUUGUAGACACAUCA